CUCCCAAACCCCUGUGAACAUACCUUAAUGUUGCCUCGGCGGAUCAGCCCGCGCCCCGUAAAACGGGACGGCCCGCCAGAGGACCCAAACUCUAAUGUUUCUUAUUGUAACUUCUGAGUAAAACAAACAAAUAAAUCAAAACUUUCAACAACGGAUCUCUUGGUUCUGGCAUCGAUGAAGAACGCAGCAAAAUGCGAUAAGUAAUGUGAAUUGCAGAAUUCAGUGAAUCAUCGAAUCUUUGAACGCACAUUGCGCCCGCUGGUAUUCCGGCGGGCAUGCCUGUUCGAGCGUCAUUUCAACCCUCAAGCCCCCGGGUUUGGUGUUGGGGAUCGGCUCUGCCUUCUGGCGGUGCCGCCCCCGAAAUACAUUGGCGGUCUCGCUGCAGCCUCCAUUGCGUAGUAGCUAACACCUCGCAACUGGAACGCGGCGCGGCCAUGCCGUAAAACCCCAACUUCUGAAUGUUGACCUCGGAUCAGGUAGGAAUACCCGCUGAACUUAAGCAUAUCAAUAAGCGGAGGA
rnacentral:rRNA from 1 species